UAGAGUGUGGUGUAACUUGGUAGCACGGGGAAUUUUGAGUUCUUAGGUGUAGGUUCGAGUCCUAUUGUUCUAG
rnacentral:tRNA from 1 species